rnacentral:misc_RNA from 1 species
UUUCCGUAGGUGAACCUGCGGAAGGAUCAUUAGUGAAUCUUAGGGCGUCUACAUGUAGAGCCUGACCUCCACCUUCUAACUCUGUGUACUCAUUUGGCGUUAAAAGGGAAUAGUGAUUGUCCAACGACGAUUGUGAAUUCAUUAUUUCUGCGGCAUACUUUAAACGCUAGUCAAAGUAUGUAACGAAAUACCGAAAUACAAAAAAACUUUCAACAACGGAUCUCUUGGCUCUC